rnacentral:tRNA from 1 species
GUCUCAGUAGCUCAGCAGAGUAGAGCAACGGCCUUCUAAGCCGUCAGUCGGGGAUUCGAACCCCUCUUGGGACG